rnacentral:rRNA from 1 species
ACACGACUCUCGGCAACGGAUAUCUCGGCUCUCGCAUCGAUGAAGAACGUAGCAAAAUGCGAUACCUGGUGUGAAUUGCAGAAUCCCGCGAACCAUCGAGUCUUUGAACGCAAGUUGCGCCCGAGCCAUUCGGCMGAGGGCACGCCUGCCUGGGCGUCACGC